rnacentral:rRNA from 1 species
AUUGAACGCUGGCGGCAGGCCUAACACAUGCCAGUCGAGCGGAUGAAGGGAGCUUGCUCCUGGAUUCAGCGGCGGACGGGUGAGUAAUGCCUAGGAAUCUGCCUGGUAGUGGGGGGUAACGUCCGGAAACGGGCGCUAAUACCGCAUACGUCCUGAGGGAGAAAGUGGGGGAUCUUCGGACCUCACGCUAUCAGAUGAGCCUAGGUCGGAUUAGCUAGUUGGUGGGGUAAAGGCCUACCAAGGCGACGAUCCGUAACUGGUCUGAGAGGAUGAUCAGUCACACUGGAACUGAGACACGGUCCAGACUCCUACGGGAGGCAGCAGUGGGGAAUAUUGGACAAUGGGCGAAAGCCUGAUCCAGCCAUGCUGCGUGUGUGAAGAAGGUCUUCGGAUUGUAAAGCACUUUAAGUUGGGAGGAAGGGCAGUAAGUUAAUACCUUGCUGUUUUGACGUUACCAACAGAAUAAGCACCGGCUAACUUCGUG